GUGUCAGCAGCCGCGGUAAUACAGAGGGGGCUAGCGUUAUUCGGAAUUAUUGGGCGUAAAGGGCGCGUAGGCGGCCAUGCGUGUCUUCCGUGAAAUCCCUCGGCUUAACUGAGGACGUGCGGAAGAAACUGCAAGGCUCGAGUCCGGGAGAGGGGGGUGGAAUUCCCAGUGUAGCGGUGAAAUGCGUAGAUAUUGGGAGGAACACCGGUGGCGAAGGCGGCCCCCUGGACCGGUACUGACGCUGAGGCGCGAAAGCGUGGGUAGCAAACGGGAUUAGAUACCCCGGUAGUCCACGCCGUAAACGAUGGGCACUUGGUGUCGCGGGUAUCGACCCCUGCGGUGCCGAAGCUAACGCAUUAAGUGCCCCGCCUGGGGAGUACGGUCGCAAGGCUGAA
rnacentral:rRNA from 1 species